UACGUAGGGGCAAGCGUUGUCCGGAUUUAUUGGGCGUAAAGAGCGUGUAGGCGGCCAGGUAGGUCCGUUGUGAAAACUGGAGGCUUAACCUCCAGCUGUCGAUGGAAACCAUCUGGCUAGAGUCCGGAAGAGGAGAGUGGAAUUCCUGGUGUAGCGGUGAAAUGCGCAGAUAUCAGGAAGAACACCCGUGGCGAAGGCGGCUCUCUGGGACGGUACUGACGCUGAGACGCGAAAGCGUGGGAGGCGAACAGG
rnacentral:rRNA from 1 species